AGGGUGUGGCUCAGAUGGUAGAGCUUUUGCCUAGCAUGCAUGAAGCCCUGAGUUCAAUCCCCAGUACCACUU
rnacentral:tRNA from 1 species